rnacentral:tRNA from 1 species
CAAAGAAUAGUUUAAUGGAAGAAUCCUAGCUUUGGGAGUUAGGGGCGGGAGUUUGAGUCUCCCUUCUUUGA